UACGAAGGUGGCAAGCGUUGUUCGGAUUUACUGGGCGUACAGGGAGCGUAGGCGGUUGGAUAAGCCCUCCGUGAAAUCUCCAGGCUUAACCUGGAAAGUGCAGAGGGGACUGUUCAGCUAGAGGAUGGGAGAGGAGCGCGGAAUUCCAGGUGUAGCGGUGAAAUGCGUAGAUAUCUGGAGGAAUACCGGUGGCGAAGGCGGCAUCCUGGACCGAGAUUGACACUGAGGAGCGAAAGCCAGGGGAGCAAACGGG
rnacentral:rRNA from 1 species